GUACUGACGAAGAGUCCCAAACUAGGACGAAACAGCUAUCCAGUAC
rfam:Trichobilharzia regenti genome assembly, scaffold: TRE_scaffold0008786